CUAUGCUGUCCCCUCCCAGCUCACACGCAGCCCUUCAAGGAACUAGCACCCUGCUGUUCUUUCUACCCUCAGCAGGCCACUCGGCCACUCACCACUGCCCAUCACUCUGACCCUGGCACCAUUACCAGAUGCAUUUCCAUCUAAACCAGUGCAAAUCUUAAUGAAUUCUACUAUGUGAUCUCAUAAUUCACACAUUUAAUUAAGCUAAUUUUCUGACAAACUACCCACCCUAAAAAAACGUUCAUGUGUGUUCUUGUUUAGCCCUCGUAAGAACUUCACAAAGUAGAACACAUUGUUCCAUUUUACAGAUGAGAAAACUGAGGCUCGGCUUAGGUGUUUGUCCAAGGUUGCAUUUGCCCUGUGAUUCUAAAAUCGGGGCUUUAAUCCUUCUUGUUUAAAGUCAGUGGAAUAAAACAGUCUCGAGAGGAGGGGAUAUAGGGUGAAGCCCAGCCUCUGCUCUCAAGCCAUCCUCCAUCCUCUACUUCUCAAGCCCCCUCCCCAGAUUGGCUGGAAAACCCCAGAACACUGUGUUGGUCCCGGGAAGCACCAGGAGAAGGAGGAGCUGUCCCCUUCCUUUCUACCUUAGAUCCUCUUUUAUCAGAGCUCAAACACUCCUGCAUUCAGCCCAAGAGCCCCUUCCACCCACCUUCAGUCAGCCCAGGUCACCAAGUGCUGCCCUGCCCCUUUUUCCCUCCUCCCCACUGGCUCUGUCAUCCCCACUGGCCAGUCCCCGGAGCAUCUCCAUCUCAGCCAGGAGAGGAAAGGGGAACGGGGCCAAGUGUCUUUUAGUGAAAGAACUGAAUCCCCAAAGAGAAAAGAAAUACCUUUCUUCUGGAGUUUGGGGUUUUUUUUCCUGAAAUUCCAGCAAAAGAGCAGUGCCAGAGCAGGGAAGCCACAGCCCCAUUCCCACCGCGGCAUGGGAAUAUGAGGCAUGGCGGGGGCCGAGGAAUCGUGGUUUCUGCCGGGCCAGCCUCAGGCUUUCCGUCCUCCCCAGGCUGGAGGAACCAUCCUCUCUGGCUUCCAGAUCAGCACAUCCUUGUAAAUAACUGCUCGGGUUCAGACUCCGGCACAGAAACCAUGGGAUCUGUCGGCACCUGCCCCUGGCCCUCCCUUCCUCCUUCCCACACUACUUCUCCUCCCUGCUCACCUUUACACACAGGACUCUGGGCUUUUAAAGAGUGAACAUAAAGCUGUCAAGGCCCCCUGCAAUAAAAAUAAGUGCCUCCUUUUACUUAGCAGCUAAUUGUCAACUGCCAUUCAAGCGAUUCCAUGGAGGUGGAUUAAAAAAAUUAAAAAAAGAUCCUCCCCCCGCCCCAGCCCCAGCUCUUGCCAGCAUCGUCCCAUAUAUCAAAGCCUCUGGCAGGAACACAGGAUUUCACUUAGUGCUGAUGAAGCCGGCCCACCCUUCCCUGGAAAUGACUGAGAGGCACGUGGCUCAGUUGAGCCUUCAGAGAGAAGGUUUUUGGAGGUGGGUUGCUGGAUUAAAAUGAGAGGAUGUUCUCCGCCCCCCACCACCCCCGCUCUGAGAGGGUUUAGCAAAGAGUGCAGCAAGCCAACUCGACACGCCCAGGAGACUUGAAAUGGACUCAGCAUCAUGGGGGCAUAGGCUGGGGCGGGACUGCUAGGAAGGGCCUGGGCAGUGUGAUGCUGCCAUCCAAGUUCCUUUCUCCAUGAACUCAGAGGCCAGGAAUGGAGGACUCAUCGUUGACAACAUGCUCUCUCUCCAGGUCAAAUUCACUCCCACGUUCCGGUAAUGUUACUCCUGAAACGUUGUGCAAACCUGUUUGCUUCUCUCCAUCUCCACCACCCCCACCCUCAUGCAAACUACCUUAGGAUGAAGACCUGCAUCUUUAACAAGACUGUCUCCACUGUUUUCACCUUGCUUCCCUCCAGGGCCCCUUUCUCCUUUCUGCCACAGGACUUUGGCACAUGCUAUUCCUCUGACCGAGACACGGUUCUCUUCUCCUUUCUUCCCCCUUCUCUGCCUGGUUGGCCCCUACUGGCCUUCAUCUCCAGUUCAGGGACCGUCCCUGAGCUUUUUUUGUCUUUUGGAAGUUCCCAGGGCAUUUGGAAGUUCCUGGGCUGGGGAUCGGACCUGCACCAUGGCAGUAACCAGAGCCAGAGCAGUGACAAUGCCAGAUCUUUAACCUGCUGAGUCACCAGGGAACUCCCAGUGAAGACUUUAUUUUCCCCACGCGGCAUCAUGAGUUUUUUCUUCACGGUACUUUUCGGUUUUAAUUUUAGUUUUCCUUGGGGGUUUUGCUUCCUUUCUGUGUCUUCUAGCAGAUUGUGAGCGCCUUGAGAGUAAAGAUGUUGUCCUUUCUUUUUCUCUCUCCUCUUUCUCUCUCCCUGUGGUACCCCCCAGGGCUGGCACAGCACUUGGCACAUGACAAUGCUCAAGAAAUACUUGUUGAAUAAAUGAAUAAAUAAAUUUCUGCCAGGUGUAGGGUCUCAGGGGAAGAAGGGUGAGGAAAUUAAUGAAAAUCCAUAAGAAUCAUCCCUUGUUAAGUCCCAUUUAGCUAGAGAGAAAGAAGCAGGACACGUGGGUUAACAGUGACUCAAGAGACCACACUCCCAACAAGCUACACUGCCCUGUGGGUUGUGAAAGCAUGCUCUGAAGGCUGCAGAGACCUGAAGAAAUGAGAGGGAGAAAAGGAACCCAAGGUAUAUAACAAUUCAGUUUGUUUGUUUGUUUGGCUUUUUAGGGCUGCAUCCACGGUAUAUGGAGGUGCCCCGGCUAGGAGUCCAAUUGGAGCUACAGCUGUUGGCUUACACCAGAGCCACAGCAACGCGGGAUCUGAGCCACGUCUGCGACCUACACCGCAGCUCACGGCAACGCCAGAUCCUUAACCCACUGAGCAAGGCCAGGGAUUGAACCCGCAACCACAUGGCUCCUAUUGGAUACAUUAACCACUGAGCCACGCCGGAAACUCCACAAUUCAAUACUUUUAUGCUCCAUGACUUGUGCUGACAAACACACAAAGAUGCUUAAAGGUCUUAUAACCUGCUUGGAUGGAGCCGUAGGCACAAUUUAGUGCAGUGCUAAUGCACCCUGCAAAGGCCAGAGAGCAAAACUCAGAGGCCAGCCUCCAGAGGAAGACAGCAAAGCAGGUCCCACAAGACUGAGUGACAAUUUGCAAGGUGGCUGCUAGCCCUCUGGGGUUGGGACAGAGAUCAAGUUUCCAUGUGGACACUUUCUGGGAAGACAGAACCCUCUACCUAAAAGGAAGGGGUGGUUUGGGGAAAACGGGCAACUGUGAGCCUGGGAACAAGGCACCAGAAGUUGACAUAUGAUCACCUUCCUUCCCUUUCUUCUACUUAAAUUGGGAAAAUGUAGGAUCGUAUCCAGAAUUUCUGGGGAAAAAGCUAAUCUAACCUUUCCAGCCAAGCCCUUAGGAAAGAGUAGGGGAGAGAGAGAGAGAGGAGAGAUUACCUGCCUAAGGAAGAAAAAGGCUGGAACACCAAGAUGCACACAAAGUUCCACUCCCAGUUAGAAUAGUAUGAUUUAUAAUAAAAAUAUAUAUAUAUUUGGUCUUCCACCCAUUUCCUGAGAGAGUUCCUAGAGCUCUUGGAAUUUCCUGUGAUUCGAGCAUUAAAGUGGCUUUUGUUAUGUUAAAGAGGUGACUUUGGAAUCCUAGCUGAGGCUGGAGCUGGUUGCCAGGGUUUGGACUUUAAGUCCCAAAGGCUGAGAAGGGGAGAGGGGCUGGUGAUUGAGUUUAAUCACCAAUGGCCAAAGAUUUAAUCCACCCUGUCUAUGCAAGAGAGCCUCCGUACAAACCCAAAAGAAAGGGUUCAAAGAGCUUCUGGCUUGAUGCCCACAGGAGGUGGUGACCACGGGGCACUAGCAGAGGGCAUGGAAUCUCUGUGUCCCUUCCCUCUCCCUUUCCCUUGUAUCUUCUCUAUCUAGGUUUUGUCCUAUAAUAAACCAGUAACCUAGUAAGUAAACUGGCUUCCUCUGUUCUGUGAGUCUCUCUUGAAAAUUAUUUGAACCCAGGGAACUGAAACCCAAGCAGAGCCCUGUGGGGUUCCCGGACCCACAAGCUUUCCUGUGUCCCCCACUUAUUGUUUCGGGGGAAUGAGCUUCAGCCUCCAAGACUGCGUGCCAAAAAGCAGGUUCAAACAGUGGUUACUCAGGGAAGGGAGGGGAUGCAGACACCUGGGAGGAGCCGUCUAGAGACAAUAGUGCAGCCUGGGGGCAGGGUCCUGGUUCCUCCUCAGGGAAUAUACCUAACACUAUCUUCGAAUUCUUCAGCAGAACUAAAACCCUCAACAAAUGAAGAUGCUGAUGAGGCAUUCUUCAUUCCUAAAGAAGGAUCAUCAGAACCAAUUCUGGGACCACCUAAAAACCAGCUUUGAAAAACAAGGCAAUCUCUCUUCUACCUGCUCUGUAUCAAUGGCCCUAUUUUUCACUCCCAAACUAUAAAACCACCUCCCAAUUUCUCCCAAGGGGAGCAUGGUCUUUAAGGCCUUAGCCUGCUGUGGCCUCCUGGGUUCAGCAAAGCAAUAACGCUAUCUUUCUCUCCUUCACUGCACUCAAAACUCUGUCUCUGAGUUUGUACUCCGCACAGGUGACAGAGGCCGAGCCACAUCAUUGGCACCUUCAAUCUAUAGCUUGUUGGUUAGAGGCACGGGACAAUCUGGACUCACCAUAGUGGGGGGGGCGUGGGGUGGGGGAGGAGGCAGUGUUGGAGGACUGAGCCCUUAACCUGUAAAAUCUGAAGCUAUCUCUGUCUGGACAGUGUUAGAAUUGAGUUGAACUGUAGAACCCCUAGCUGGUGCUCAAGAUCUGCUUGGACUGUGAGGACCCUUCACUGUGCUCCCCCCACCCCACACCCAUUGGACUUGGUCUCAGAAUCAGACAAGGUAGAGCCAGUUCAGAGGCAGGAAGAGCCAAGAGGAAGGAGCUGGGUGUGCCGUGGGAACUGUUACCAGCAGGCAGAAAGCUAGGUGUGAGCAGGGAAGGGGGGGCACAGGCCAGGUAGCAGGAAACCAUGUGUCCCUCGUGUAAACAGCCAUGUCCAUGGGCAGACAAAGAAAGCAGGAAGCUCCAGACUAACAGGAAACCACAAAUUUUGGGUGAUAAGUGUCCUGGAGGCAGACAAAGAAAGGUGGGAAAAGGCAGGAAUCUGCAGCAUCUAAAUGUAACCUUUUGCUUAUUACGCCCUCCUUCCAAUACAAUUAGCCUUGUAGAUAGAUUCCCAUCAAGCACCAAGGCCUUGACACGUCUGAUCAAGGCCAAAUAAGGACCAAAAUCUCUCCUCCCUUUGGGAAGGUGGAGCGGGCAGGGGGUGAAAAUCAGGGAGUAUGACCUCCCAAGACCCUCCUUCGCCAGUGAAUAUUCUGCCCCUUCAUUUGUAUGCCCCAAAUAACCUGUGUGCCAAAGAAACCCAGGGCAGCUGCUCACCCACCUGCUUGCUCCCUGUCUGGGGGCGUAUUCUCCCUGAAACACAUCCUCGUUUGACUUUCUCCAUCUCCUUGUCUCGCUUCCGAGUUCCUUCUGUGACAAGACAGGAAUCUUUUGCUGGAAACAGAACUGCAUCUCUCCCAUCCAGGAGGAAAGAGAGCUUGAACCGGGCAGGAAUUGGGACAGGAAGAGGGCUCAGCUCUACCUGUGGCCUGUGGAAGUUCCCAGGCUAGGAGUCACAUCGGGGCUGCAGCUGCUGACCUACACCACAGCUCACGACAACGCUGGAUCCUUAACCCACUGAGUGAGGCCAGGGAUCAAACCUAUGUCCUCAUAGAUUCUAGUUGGGUUUGUUACUGCUGAGUCACAACAGGAAUUCCUGAGAACAGCUUCUAAAAUGUAAAAUUCUUUCAUUACUUGGGGCGUCCUGAUGGACUACAGUUGAAUGCAAAAUUGUUUUGUCUGGACAUCUGUUUUUCUGGGAACCAUUUCCAGAGCUUUGUGUGGAUACUCCAAGGAGUUUGCAAACCAUAAAGAGUUUUGCCAAAAUUCACCACUGACCCCCUUGGAAGGAGAUCAUUCUGGAGGAAGAAAAGCAUUUAUGGAAGAAGUUCCCAGAUGAGCUGACCUUCAUUUGAUAGAGAGAAGGGCCUCAGGGAGCAGAACACAGCAUCGCUCUGAAAAGAGGAGGCCACUUUUUCACUCAUUCACUUAAUAAAUGUUUAUUGAGCACCUGCUAUAUCAGGCCCUGCUUAGUGUCAGGGAUAUAAUACUGAACAAAACAGAGGGGGAAGAUCCUGACAAGUAGAUUGCAACUUUCAUGAUAAUAAGGGGAGACCAACUACAAAUAAAACAAAUGAGUAAAGUAUUUAGAGGGUUGGAAGGGGGCAAGUGCUAACAAAACCAAAGAGGAAAGAGGGAUGGGGGGUGGGUAGGAAGAGGGGAAGGCAGGGAGGGGGUUCAGUGUUAAGUGGGAUGAUCAGGAGAAGGCCUGCUGAGGUGAUUUUGAGCAAAGAUCUGAGGUGGGCAUGGGACAAGCUACCUGGGGAAGGAGGAGUCCAGACAGAGCAAGCAGCAAGUGCAAAGGCCCUGAGGCAGAAUGUGCCGAGGGUGUCUGGGGAUGAGAGUGAGGAGGCUGCUAAAUCUAGAAGGAAAUGAAUACUGGAGAAGGUUCUAGAAAACAAGGUGAGGAGUUCCCUUCGUGGCGCAACAGAAACGAAUCUGACUAGGAACCAUGAGGUUUCGGGUUUGAUCCUUGGCCUUGCUCUGAGGGUUAAGGAUCCGGCGUUGCCGUGAGCUGUAGUGUAGGUGGCAGAUGCAGCUCGGGUCUGGCGUUGCUGUGGCUCUGGCGGAGGCUGGCAGCUGUAGCUCCGAUUGGAUCCCUAGCCUGGGAACUUCCAUAUGCCGCAGGUGCGGCCCUAAAAAGACAAAAGACAAAAAGACAAAAAGACAAAAAAAAAA
rnacentral:lncRNA from 1 species